AUUGAACGCUGGCGGCAGGCCUAACACAUGCAAGUCGAACGAGUGGCGGACGGGUGAGUAAUGUAUGGGAAACUGCCUGGUGGAGGGGGAUAACUACUGGAAACGGUAGCUACUACCGCAUACCAUCAGAUGUGCCCCGCGGGGAUUAGCUUGUUGGUGGGGUAACGGCGCACCAAGGCGACGAUCCCUAGCUGGUCUGAGAGGAUGACCGGCCACACUGGAACUGAGACACGGUCCAGACUCCUACGGGAGGCAGCAGUGGGGAAUAGUGCACAAUUGGCGAAAGCCUGAUGCAGCCAUGCCGCGUGUAUGAAGAAGGCCUUCGGGUGGUAAAGUACUUUCAGCGGGGAGGCGUUACCCGCAGAAGAAGCACCGGCUAACUCCGUGCCAGCAGCCGCGGUAAUAC
rnacentral:rRNA from 1 species